rnacentral:rRNA from 1 species
GACGAACGCUGGCGGCGUGCUUAACACAUGCAAGUCGAACGGAAAGGCCCUGCUUUUGUGGGGUGCUCGAGUGGCGAACGGGUGAGUAACACGUGAGUAACCUGCCCUUGACUUUGGGAUAACUUCAGGAAACUGGGGCUAAUACCGGAUAGGAGCUCCUGCUGCAUGGUGGGGGUUGGAAAGUUUCGGCGGUUGGGGAUGGACUCGCGGCUUAUCAGCUUGUUGGUGGGGUAGUGGCUUACCAAGGCUUUGACGGGUAGCCGGCCUGAGAGGGUGACCGGCCACAUGGGGACUGAGAUACGGCCGAGACUCCUACGGGAGGCAGCAGUGGGGAAUAUUGCACAAUGGGCGGAAGCCUGAUGCAGCAACGCCGCGUGCGGGAUGACGGCCUUCGGGUUGUAAACCGCUUUCGCCUGUGACGAAGCGUGAGUGACGGUAAUGUAUAAAGAAGCACCGGCUAACUACGUG